UACAGAGGUCUCAAGCGUUGUUCGGAUUCAUUGGGCGUAAAGGGUGCGUAGGCGGCGCGGUAAGUCGGGUGUGAAAUCUCGGGGCUUAACUCCGAAACUGCAUUCGAUACUACCGUGCUUGAGGACUGGAGAGGAGACUGGAAUUUACGGUGUAGCGGUGAAAUGCGCAGAUAUCAGGAAGAACACCAAUGGCGAAAGCAGCUUUCUGGGACGGUACUGACGCUGGAGGCGCGAAAGCGUGGGGAGCGAACAGG
rnacentral:rRNA from 1 species